rnacentral:sRNA from 1 species
AACCUAAAACAACGAAAGCCCUACCUCUCUUUCAUCAAUACGGCUCCUAGACCGCGCCUCUUAGAAUCAGGUUCUCUAAUAG